GAGGGUAGAGCUCAGUGGUAGAGUGCCUGCUUAGCAUGCAUGAGGUCCUGGGUUCAAUCCCCACCACCUACC
rnacentral:tRNA from 1 species